UAAAAUCAAAAAUGAAAAGCAUAGGUGGCAGCCUCGCCAAGCUACCAAAAAGGAAAACGGCUACAUCGAUCUAUACGCCAAGAAGACGACCUGCAAAAGCCAACGACCUAAAUAGAAAUAACCGACAUUAACGUUCACCAAAAAAGCAGAAAAUGAUUAUCUUGCGAAGUUAACCUUUUUCUAUCGCAGAAAUAUGUUCAUCCACGCCACCACUUUUUUGGUCAUCCAAGAGUUAUGCCAAGAAAAAGACCUUCAAAAGCCAACUACCUAAACAGAAAUAACCCACAUCAAACGUUUACAAAAAGGCGAAAAUGAUUGUCUAGCGAAGUUAACCUUUUUUCUAUCGUAGAAAGAUGUUCAUCCAUACCACCACUUUUUUCGUCAACCAUGAAUUUGCAGUAACCCCCCC
rnacentral:lncRNA from 1 species